UUAAAUUGAAGAGUUUGAUCAUGGCUCAGAUUGAACGCUGGCGGCAGGCCUAACACAUGCAAGUCGAACGGUAACAGGAAGAGGCUUGCUUCUU
rnacentral:rRNA from 1 species